rnacentral:other from 1 species
CUGAGGCCCGAGCGCCCGACCCAGACACCCGCCCCAGAAAACCCAGGAGCGAGUAGGGGGCGGCGCCGGAAGGAGCGGGCGGGGGGCGUGGGGGUCGUGGGCCGUCGGGGUGGAGACGUAUUAGAUGUGACGCCGCGCCCGGGGUAGCAGCAGGCGGACGCGUGCCCGCGUGGCGAGCGGAUCCCGGCUGCUGCGGCUUAGGGAGGCGGCCCUCCCGAGAGGGCGGCCGCAGAGGCAUCCACCCUCACCCCCGAUCCGCACGGACCGCGGCUCCCCGCGCUCUAGGGCGGGCGGAGAGGAAGCGGCCGAACAGCUCGAGGCUGGGGCUCGCGGCGCGGCGCGUGCCGCGGGAGGGAGGCUGGGGGGCCGGGCCGGGGCCGCGCCCGAGCGCGUCGAGGCCGGGCCGGGGCGCGGCGGCUCCCCGCGCGGCUCCAGGGGCUCGGGGACCCCGCCAGGGCCUUGGUGGGGCCAUG